CUUUUGACCUCGGAUCAGGUAGGGAUACCCGCUGAACUUAAGCAUAUCAAUAAGCGAGGAAAAGAAACCAACAGGGAUUGCCCUAGUAACGGCGAGUGAAGCGGCAACAGCUCAAAUUUGAAAUCUGGCUCUUUCAGAGUCCGAGUUGUAAUUUGCAGAGGGCGCUUUGGCGUUGGCAGCGGUCCAAGUUCUUUGGAACAGGACGUCACAGAGGGUGAGAAUCCCGUACGUGGUCGCUAGCCUUCGCCGUGUAAAGCCCCUUCGACGAAUCGAGUUGUUUGGGAAUGCAGCUCUAAAUGGGAGGUAAAUUUCUUCUAAAGCUAAAUACUGGCCAGAGACCGAUAGCGCACAAGUAGAGUGAUCGAAAGAUGAAAAGCACUUUGGAAAGAGAGUCAAAUAGCACGUGAAAUUGUUGAAAGGGAAGCGCUUGCAGCCAGACUUGCCUGUAGUUGCUUAUCCGGACUUUUGUCCGGUGCACUCUUCUGCGGGCAGGCCAGCAUCAGUUUGGGCGGUUGGAUAAAGGUCUCUGUCAUGUACCUCCUUUCGGGGAGGCCUUAUAGGGGAGACGACAUGCAACCAGCCUGGACUGAGGUCCGCGCAUCUGCUAGGAUGCUGGCGUAAUGGCUGUAAGCGGCCCGUCUUGAAACACGGACCAAGGAGUCUAACAUCUAUGCGAGUGUUUGGGUGUCAAGCCCAGACGCGUAAUGAAAGUGAACGGAGGUGGGAACCCUUUGGGUGCACCAUCGACCGAUCCUGAUGUCUUCGGAUGGAUUUGAGUAAGAGCAUAGCUGUUGGGACCCGAAAGAUGGUGAACUAUGCUUGAAUAGGGUGAAGCCAGAGGAAACUCUGGUGGAGGCUCGCAGCGGUUCUGACGUGCAAAUCGAUCGUCG
rnacentral:rRNA from 1 species